rnacentral:rRNA from 1 species
UCUCAAAGAUUAAGCCAUGCAUGUCUAAGUACAUGCCGUAUUAAGGCGAAACCGCGAAUGGCUCAUUAAAUCAGUUACGGUUCCUUAGAUGUUGACCUAACCUACAUGGAUAACUGUGGUAAUUCUAGAGCUAAUACAUGCACAAAAGCUUCGACCCUCGAUGGAAGGAGCGCAUUUAUUAGAACAAGACCAAUGGGGCGACCCUCACCGGCCGUCCUUCCAAUUGGUGACUCUGAAUAACUUUUGCUAAUCGCAUGGCCUCCCGUGCCGGCGAUGAAUCUUUCAAGUGUCUGCCUUAUCAACUGUCGAUGGUAGGUUAUGCGCCUACCAUGGUUGUAACGGGUAACGGGGAAUCAGGGUUCGAUUCCGGAGAGGGAGCCUGAGAAACGGCUACCACAUCCAAGGAAGGCAGCAGGCACGCAAAUUACCCAAUCCCAGAACGGGGAGGUAGUGACGAAAAAUAACAAUGCAGAACUCUAAUGAGGCUCUGCAAUUGGAAUGAGAACAAUCUAAAUCCUUUAGCGAGGAUCUAUUGGAGGGCAAGUCUGGUGCCAGCAGCCGCGGUAAUUCCAGCUCCAAUAGCGUAUAUUAAAGUUGUUGCGGUUAAAAAGCUCGUAGUUGGAUCUCAGUUCACUGCCAGGCGGUCCCCAUCCUCAGUUGGUGGCGGUCACCGUUCAUUCACUGGCUGAACAGAAUAAUACCGAGUUGCGUCCCUUGGUGCUCUUCACCGGGUGUCUUGGGCGAUCGGUACGUUUACUUUGAAAAAAUUAGAGUGCUCAAAGCAGGCGUUUGUUGCCCGAAUAAUGUUGCAUGGAAUAAUAGAAUAGGAUCUCGGUUCUAUUUUGUUGGUCUUAGGAAUGCCCGAGGUAAUGAUUAAGAGGGACAGACGGGGGCAUUCGUAUUGCGGCGCUAGAGGUGAAAUUCUUGGACCGUCGCAAGACGAACUAAAGCGAAAGCAUUUGCCAAGAAUGUUUUCAUUAAUCAAGAACGAAAGUUAGAGGUUCGAAGGCGAUCAGAUACCGCCCUAGUUCUAACCAUAAACGAUGCCAACCAGCGAUCCGCCUGAGUUCCCUUAAUGACUCGGCGGGCAGCUUCCGGGAAACCAAAGUUUUUCGGUUCCGGGGGAAGUAUGGUUGCAAAGCUGAAACUUAAAGGAAUUGACGGAAGGGCACCACCAGGAGUGGAGCCUGCGGCUUAAUUUGACUCAACACGGGAAAACUUACCCGGCCCGGACACUGGAAGGAUUGACAGAUUGAGAGCUCUUUCUUGAUUCAGUGGGUGGUGGUGCAUGGCCGUUCUUAGUUGGUGGAGCGAUUUGUCUGGUUAAUUCCGAUAACGAACGAGACUCUAGCCUACUAAAUAGACCGGUGGCUUCUUGUGUGGCAGGUCCCUGGUGGAGGCUCGGCGGAGGGUUCGCUUUCCGUCCUUGUACUUGCCAGGUAAACCGCUGCAGAACGCCACCGGGCGCUUCUUAGAGGGACAGGCGGUGAUUCAACCGCACGAAACAGAGCAAUAACAGGUCUGUGAUGCCCUUAGAUGUCCGGGGCCGCACGCGCGCUACACUGAAGUGAUCAGCGUGCUUUCUCUAAUCCCCUGCUCUGCCAAGAGUGGGAAACCCAAUGAACCUACUUCGUGAUUGGGAUAAAGGAUUGUAAUUAUUCCUUUUGAACGAGGAAUUCCCAGUAAGCGCGAGUCAUCAGCUCGCGUUGAUUACGUCCCUGCCCUUUGUACACACCGCCCGUCGCUACUACCGAUUGAAUGAUUUAGUGAGGUCUUCGGACUGGCCGGCGCAGCUGCUCUCACGGGUAGCCGCGCUGUGUUUGGAAAGAUGCCCAAACUUGAUCAUUUAGAGGAAGUAAAAGUCGUAA